CAUAUAUCAAGUGCAAUGCUUUCCCAUUUAUAAAAAUAUGAGCCUUUCAUGAAUUAAAAGGAGUGAACCCCACAUAAAUGUAAAUAUGUGUAUACAUCAGUAAACACUAAUUGAGACCUUAACUGAAUCCAACCACAUACUUCAUUCUUCUUUAUCCCUAUAAUGUUCUGGCCUUAUCAAGUGAUAAAUCAUAGCAUGACACAAAAUCCGGAGAUGAGCACAAAAUUUCAAUAACACCACCAAAAUUCAUUAAUGGCAGCUACUUGAAACAUUUGAAAAUCCAAUCGGUGGCUGAAAUCUCUCCAUGCCAACAUCAACAAGCUGGUAAGAAUUCAAUGAUCAAAAGAGACUCCUAACUACUCUAAUAACCCAAAAUCCUGAGCUGGGCAAAUAAGUAGCCCUACAACAAUGUAUAGAGAUAAACAGCAUUUAUGCAACCCCAAUAAUAGAGAUAUAUUUUCAAAAUUGAAAAAGAAAAAUCUUUCCCUUUUCCCCAGAUACAAUUUAUGCAUAUAUAUAUAUAUAUAUAUGAUGCAGGUGCAUUCUGGCACCUAGCUUAAAUACUUCGAGCUCUUGUCUAGCUCAGAAAAAGAUGGCUUUAAAAUGGUUUCUAAAUUCUGCAUUUACUCAAGUUUUUGGU
rnacentral:misc_RNA from 1 species